GAUUGUAUGAUCUACUUCUAAGCAGGAAGAAAUUCUACAAAAUAAGGAAAACAAAGUAGUUUGUCACGCUAGUGGAGAAAGGCCACGUCUAUGCAGUCCAACAGAGCAACGAUCCUUAGAUAAGUCUUAAGUGAGCCGAUCCCCAAGCCAGAGGAAAUAUCACCGUGGCCUGGAGCGGCCAGGCCUCCCUCAGCAAGGGCAGAGCCCUGUGCCUGAGAAACACCUUCAUCCACCUUCGCUUCCCCUCAGAGGAGUUUCCUGCUGGGGUGGAGGCUGCGACGCUUCCCGUCCCCCCGGCUCCCACAGCAGCACCAGCCCCUGCUCCACGCUCAGAGGCUUCGUGCUGGCACAGAGUCUCCAGCAAAGCCUAGCCUGGAGUACAAGGGACCUGCAGCACAUGUUUUCACUCGCCGACCAAGCAUGAAAAUUUCCCACCGCCUUUCACAGAGCAAAGAAGCUUUUACCGAAGUUGAGAAGGGCCCCAGAAUUCAAGGUCCUGGGGCCAGUGG